CGAGAGUAGUACUAGGAUGGGUGACCUCCUGGGAAGUCCUUGUGUUGCACCCC
rfam:Gossypium arboreum cultivar AKA8401 contig_358375_1, whole genome shotgun sequence.